GGGCUUUUCAAGUUUGUAUGGGAAACAGCAGGAAUGAAAGGCGACCUUGAAGUACAAGGCCAUCUGUGGUGCAUUGGUGCCAAGUAUAAGUCAUUUACCUAUAGAAACAAUUUGUUCUUGCUGCAUUCUAUAAGUUGCUGAUGUACUGACAGGGAAAGCUAGAAAUGUGGAAGAUGCAUUCAUCAAUGUGUAUAGUAGGUUAGUAUGUAACAACUUUUUG
rnacentral:misc_RNA from 1 species